AGUUCUUCUGCUGAUAAAAAUUGCAGUCAUCCAUUACUGGAAAAAUGCUACUUAAUUGCAGGAAAUGGAGAUUACACGUGACAGUAGGCCUCUACUGGGAUACUAGGACACAGAAGCUGCCUUCUAAGGAGUACACUCAGCUCAUUAGUGAGCUCCCUGUGCAACCUCCUCCCCCCUACCACCCAAAGGAGGUUUCCUUCUUGGGCUCAAGCUCUGUUCAGAGAUGCUGCAGCUGUAACCUUGAAUCAGAGACAGUCAUGAAGACACUCAGUAUGUGAGAAGGAGCUGUGGGAAACCUCAUACAGUGCUUCUGCGAGUGAGGCUUUUGUCCUGCUGGCCAUGCUGUGUCACUGAGCUUCCGGUUCACCAUCUUUUGCAGAGACACCUACCCUUGCUGCUCCCUUUGUAUCACUCAUCAGUGACCUUCAUCACUAACUUCAUAUUUGUUUGCUUGGGAAGCUGGAAACCUACAGGACCUCUGGAAGGAACAAAUAGGAUUUAGGCCUCAGGAACAUGCCUAUGCCCUGUUCUAUUUUUGUGAAAUCUGUGUCCCAGGGGGUUGUCGUGGAGCCCAACCUGCACUGCAUCAGCAAGCUCUGGCAGCUGUUCAACUCUGCACAGGGACCAUUCACCCUCCUUCUGAUAGUCAGUUUCUCCCAUGAGUGAGAGAGCAUUGUUUCAGGUUCAUACUGGCUGUUUUGCUCUUGUAGAAGGACUCUUACAGUGCUUGGUUGGUAUUCCUUGCCAAGAAGUAGUGACUGUCCUGGCUAGUGGAUGAGGCUAAUGAUGUUCUUUUGACUGUGUCACUGGCAUUCAUUGUCAAUUUACUUCAGGUGUGAGGUCCAGAGUUUUUCUUCAGUCUUCUGAAACAAACUUGGACAGGAACUUUAGCCUACGCAUACAAAUACUCUGUUAUAACACGGUAUUAUGUGAAAAUCUGUCAAAUAGCAGUCUGUAGGAGUCCAGGCUUUCACACCAGCAUUACAA
rnacentral:lncRNA from 1 species